AUUGAAACACCUGUUCCCAUAUAAUCACAGAAGUUAAACAAUGUCAAGCCUGGUCAGUAUCUAGAUGGGUGACCGCUUGGGAAUAACAGGUGCUGUAAG